CGUCAGGAUCACAGAAAGUCAGCGUAAGAGAGAGAGAGAGAAAGUAAGCUGGGUAGCUUCUCAGCCAUCUGCCAAUAGCGUACCUUGUAUGAAAUCAACUGGGCAAACCAACUGAGGAAGCAUGUACCAGAAAUUAUAAGACCCAUUGUCCGCAGAAACCCGCGAAGCAGCGAAAAAUCUGCGAUAUAUAUUUAAAUAUGCUUACAUAUAAAAUCUGCGAUGGAGUGAAGCCGCGAAAGGCGAAGCGCGAUAUAGCGAGGGAUUACUGUAUACUUCUGGGAUAUUUAUCAGCACGUUGUGAAGCUGCACCAGUAAACUGCCCUUCUGCUUAUUGAAUCAUAUGCACAAAUAUGAGGCAUUCUUUCCACUUGAUUAUGUUUUCACUCCAUUUUCUUUAACUUUGAAUAUUUAAGUGUUCUCCUAUCUAAGCUCACAUUCUGCAAUGUUGAUAGCACUUUAAGUGCCAUAUGAGCCAAUGAAUGAGCUAUUGCUGGGCAGGACUCCUGAGCAAUGAACCAAUGAAUGGGGAAGAAAGACAAGUCUUCAACUGAAAAGAUGUUUGAAUGCACUUCUCCCUCAUGCAUAAGAGCAUUUUCACAUGGUGGUUUAUAUUGUGGGGAGGCACAGUGGCGCAGUGGUAGCAUUGCUGCCUCACAGUUAGGAGACCCGGGUUUGCAUGUUCUCCCCUUGUCUGCGUGGGUUUCCUCCAGGUGCUCUGGUUUCCUCCCACAGUCCAAAGACAUGCAGGUUAGGUGCAUUGGCAAUUCUAAAGUUGUCCCUAGUGUGUGCUUGAUGUGUGUGUGGUUGUGUGCGCCCUGCGGUGGGCUGGCGCCCUGCCCAGGGUUUGUUUCCUGCCUUGUGCCCUAUGUUGGCUGGGAUUGGCUCCAGCAGACCCCCGUGACCCUGUAGUUAGGAUAAAGCAGGUUGGAUAAUGGAUGGAUGGUUUAUAUUGUGGUUCGGCGGUGUAAGUACACACUGGAAUCAGUCAAAAGUUUGAGACGCCAACUGAGCUGUCCCUUUUAAUCGUCGCAAGACAAAAUAAACGAAAAGUAAAAGUAACAAAAAAAUGUGCCAAUGCACUUCUCCCAAUCAAGGUUUCCUCCUUCUUUGGAGUUUUAAGAAAGCCUCAUGCUCCGCCGUGCAGCUCGUUCGGGUCUUCUGGCAAAAGAUGCCUCUUUUUUAAUCGGUGCGUCUUUUAUAUUAAAACUUCCAGAAGGUGUGGGGCUAAGUGUCCUUACUGUGUGGAUUCUCGGAGAUGUGAGGGAAGAGGAAAAACAGGACAAAGUCAGCAGUAUCCCCCCCUCUCGUCUCGGCUGGUUAUUACAUACCUUUCACCACCUUUCUAAGAGAAGUCUGUCGACACUCAUGUAUGACAAUAUAAAGAAAAUUUCAGCCAGAUUACAUGGUUUUGGGAAAUUAGGGUUGCCAUUGAAAUCCCUUAUAUGAAGAAUUUUAUGAAAACAUAAAAUUGAAAGUUUUUGACGGAUAUCACACCAGAAAACAAGAGGUACAAAGCAGAAAGGAAGAUUAAUGUGCCUCCAGCUGUGACAAAACUUCCAGGGUCGCUCUACCAGGACCUGCACUUUCUCCCAGAGACCAUCAAAAACAGAAACGUAGCCAUUUUGGACAGACUAUAUGAGAAUAAGAAGUUGCAACAGUUUGUGCUUAAUGUGCAUUUCUUUUGCGCCUUUCAGUAUACAGGGUCUAACAAGUAAUUCACUCCAGACAUCAUAAAGGUUUAGGGCAGCCACCAGUAUAUUGUAUCCUGGCUGCAAAAGUUUUAAAUAAUUGAACAGAGAUUUUCACAAGACCGAGUCCAAAACAGAACUGUCAGACUGGAGGUAAACUGGCGGCUUUAAAGACCUGUUGAGGAAGUGAUGUAAUCGGGGCCCGAACUGGAAGUGACAUCAUCCAAGGUACUGGAACCUGGUGGGAUUUCCCGAGAAUAGUCUGCAAGGAACUAAGAAAGACAGUCAGCACAUCCUGACGCCCCCUGGUCUGAUGAGUGGCAUAUUUGGCAGGAUUCAGUACAUAACCCGAGGACAUCGAGGACUUGCUCCAGAGGAACCCACAAAACCCUCAGCAAGAGGCCACAAAUAUAGUUUAGUUAUGGUGGAUUAUGCUACCCGGUAUAUGGAAGCCAUCCCAUUGAAAGUGGCAAAUUCAAAAACCAUUGCACGGGAACUUCUUGGGGUCCCUAACAGAUCAAGGGACGCCAUUUACCUCAGAUAUAUUUGGGGAAGUGGCCAAAUUACUCCGUAUUAAGCAUUUGAAAAUCUUAGUAUAUCACCUCCAGAUGGAUGGUUCAGUACAGUGCUUUAAUCAAAUGCUCAAACAGAUGCUCCGUGAAGUGGUCAGCAAGUAUGGAAGGAAUUGGGAAGUUACUUCCCCUAAUGUUGACUGUCAACUGGGAGGUUCCGCCAGCUCCCAUGGGCUUCUCGUCAUUUCAAUUAUUAUAUGGACGACAACCCAGAGGCAUUUUGGACAUCUUAAAAGAAGGUUGGGGAGAGGAGGCCAACCAUUCAGUAAAUAUUCUAGAAUAUUUCACCCAGACCAAUGCUUCGGAAACAGGCUUGGGCGCUGUGUUGAGCCAAAGCAUCAAUGAUGUUGAAUACCCCAUGAUAUACCUAAGCUGGAAACUUUCGGAUCAGAAGAUGAGGUAUUCAGUGGUAGAAAGAGAAGUUCUGACAUCAAGUGGGCUAUUAACCAGCUAAGGUAUUCCCUCCUGGGAUGCAAUGGUUCACCCUGACGAACCAUUCCCCUUUACAGUGGAUGGCCCUGCACAGAGGUUCCAAUCCCUGUGUGACCAGGUGGUUUCUUGAACCUUAGCCUUUUCAGUUUAAAGUUCAGUAUCACCGGGGUACACUUCAUGCAAACACUGAAGCGCUGUCUUUUGUUUAUGACCUAACGGUACAAGUCGCCCGAUCUGAUGCAUCUUGGCUAAGGGAGGGUACUGUCACACGCAUGCACUUGGGGAGCAACUUAAGGGCUUGGAUAAUUACAUUACUCCCACGGAACACACGAGGGUGCUAAGCAAUAAUGAUUUUGU